AUGCUCGCUUCAGCAGCACAUACACUAAAAUUAGAAAGAUAAGGAGAAGAGCAUGGCCCCUGUGCAAGCAUCCAUGAACACAGUUUCAUGAAGCAUUCCAUAUUUUU